rnacentral:piRNA from 1 species
UGGAAGUAAAUUUUUCGUCAC